UACAGAGGUCCCAAGCGUUGUUCGGAUUCAUUGGGCGUAAAGGGUGCAUAGGCGGCUUGGCAAGUGGAAGGUGAAAUCCCUCGGCUUAACCGAGGAACUGCCCUCCAAACUGCUUUGCUUGAGGCCGGGAGAGGUGAGUGGAAUUCCCAGUGUAGCGGUGAAAUGCGUAGAUAUUGGGAGGAACACCAGUGGCGAAGGCGGCUCACUGGACCGGUUCUGACGCUGAGGCGCGAAAGCGUGGGGAGCAAACGGG
rnacentral:rRNA from 1 species